rnacentral:lncRNA from 1 species
CAGGACUUGAAAGAAAUGAAAAGCUUAACAUUUCAUAUUGUUCAAGUUGUUAUCUGUAGAGCAAUUAAGGGGAACUAUAAUCCUGUAACAGGGUCUAUGCGAUUCUGAGGCAAGAGGCAUGAAACAACUCUGAGGAAGCAGGUCGGAGAGCAGCUGACCUGGUGAUCAAGGAGGGGCAGCCUGCUAAAAGCAGGGGCAGCAAGACGACAUCUCCAGCUGAGAGACACAUGUACCACUUAGAGAUGAGAAAGAUGCACCAGGGAGGCCAUAGUUGAAGAUACUCAAAUCAUUCUGAAGGCUUUCAUCUUGUCUCUCAGAGGCACUCAUUCAACAUUUUAGGGAACAACCAAGGCCUCUGUUCAUUGAAGCCCAUUGA